rnacentral:rRNA from 1 species
UUAAGUGCCCCGCCUGGGGAGUACGAUCGCAAGAUUAAAACUCAAAGGAAUUGACGGGGCCCCGCACAAGCAGCGGAGCAUGCGGUUUAACUCGAUGCAACGCGAAAAACCUUACCCACCUUUGACAUGUACGAAAUCCUUUAGAGAUAGAGGAGUGCUCGAAAGAGAAUCGUAACACAGGCGCUGCAUGGCUGUCGUCAGCUCGUGUCGUGAGAUGUUGGGUUAAGUCCCGCAACGAGCGCAACCCUUGUCAUUAGUUGCUACAUUUAGUUGGGCACUCUAAUGAGACUGCCGGUGACAAACCGGAGGAAGGUGGGGAUGACGUCAAGUCCUCAUGGCCCUUAUAGGUGGGGCUACACACGUCAUACAAUGGCCGGUACAAAGGGCUGCAAACCCGCGAGGGGGAGCUAAUCCAUAAAAACCGGUCGUAGUCCGGAUCGCAGUCUGCAACUCGACUGCGUGAAGUCGGAAUCGCUAGUAAUCGUGGAUCAGAAUGUCACGGUGAAUACGUUCCCGGUCUUGCACACACCGCC